rnacentral:rRNA from 1 species
UGGGGAAUAUUGGACAAUGGAGGGAACUCUGAUCCAGCAAUUCUGUGUGUGUGAAGAAGGUUUUAGGACUGCAAAACACUUUUAGUAGGGAAGAAAAAAAUGACGGUACCUACAGAAGAAGCAACGGCUAAAUACGUGCCAGCAGCCGCGGUAAUACGUAUGUUGCGAGCGUUAUCCGGAAUUAUUGGGCUUAAAGGGCAUCUAGGCGGUAAGACAAGUUGAAGGUGAAAACCUGUGGCUCAACCAUAGGCUUGCCUACAAAACUGUUGAACUAGAGUACUGGAAAGGUGGGUGGAACUACACGAGUAGAGGUGAAAUUCGUAGAUAUGUGUAGGAAUGCCGAUGAUGAAGAUAACUCACUGGACAGAAACUGACGCUGAAGUGCGAAAGCUAGGGGAGCAAACAGG